rnacentral:pre_miRNA from 1 species
AGUGGGAUAGCUGGGUCAAAUGGUGGUUUCAUUCCCAGAUUUCCAAGGAAUUUCCAUACUGCUUCCAUAUUGGCUGCACCAAUUUGCAGUCCCACCAGCAAU